rnacentral:rRNA from 1 species
GAUGAACGCUGGCGGCGUGCCUAAUACAUGCAAGUCGAGCGAACGGACGAGAAGCUUGCUUCUCUGAUGUUAGCGGCGGACGGGUGAGUAACAUGUGGAUAACCUACCUAUAAGACUGGGAUAACUUCGGGAAACCGGAGCUAAUACCGGAUAAUAUUUUGAACCGCAGGGUUCAAAAGUGAAAGGCGGUCUUGCUGUCACUUAUAGAUGGAUCCGCGCUGCAUUAGCUAGUUGGUAAGGUAACGGCUUACCAAGGCAACGAUGGAUAGCCGACCGGAGAGGGUGAUGGCCCACACUGGGGCUGAGCCGCGGUCCAGGCUCCUACGGGAGGCAGCGGUAGGGAAGCUUGGGAGCUGGGGGGAAGCCUGACGGAGCGGCGCCGCGUGGGUGAUGAAGGUCUGCGGAUCGGAAAACUCUCUUAUUGGGGAAGACCAUUUGUGUAAGGAACUGUGCACUUCUUGACGGUACCUAAUCAGAAAGCCACGGCUAACUACGUG